UACGAAGGGGGCUAGCGUUGCUCGGAAUUACUGGGCGUAAAGCGCACGUAGGCGGCUUUGUAAGUUAGAGGUGAAAGCCCAGGGCUCAACCCUGGAAUUGCCUUUAAGACUGCAUCGCUUGAACAUCGGAGAGGUAAGUGGAAUUCCGAGUGUAGAGGUGAAAUUCGUAGAUAUUCGGAAGAACACCGGUGGCGAAGGCGGCGUCCUGGACCAACACUGACACUGAUGAGCGAAAGCCAGGGGAGCAAACGGG
rnacentral:rRNA from 1 species